AGUGGCGGACGGGUGAGUAACGCGUGAGAAUCUGCCUUGGGGUCGGGGACAACCACUGGAAACGGUGGCUAAUACCGGAUAAGCCGAUUGGUGAAAGAUUUAUUGCCCGAAGAGGAGCUCGCGUCUGAUUAGCUAGUUGGUGAGGUAAGAGCUCACCAAGGCAGCGAUCAGUAGCUGGUCUGAGAGGACGAUCAGCCACACUGGGACUGAGACACGGCCCAGACUCCUACGGGAGGCAGCAGUGGGGAAUUUUCCGCAAUGGGCGAAAGCCUGACGGAGCAAGACCGCGUGAGGGAGGAAGGCUCUUGGGUUGUAAACCUCUUUUCUCAGGGAAGAAGCUCUGACGGUACCUGAGGAAUCAGCCUCGGCUAACUCCGUGCCAGCAGCCGCGGUAAUACGGAGGAGGCAAGCGUUAUCCGGAAUUAUUGGGCGUAAAGCGUCCGCAGGUGGCGAUUCAAGUCUGCUGUCAAAGCACGGGGCUUAACUCCGUAAAGGCAGUGGAUCUGAAUAGCUAGAGUGCCGUAGGGGUAGAGGGAAUUCCCGGUGUAGCGGUGAAAUGCGUAGAGAUCGGGAAGAACAUCGGUGGCGAAAGCGCUCUACUGGACGGCAACUGACACUCAGGGACGAAAGCUAGGGGAGCGAAUGGGAUUAGAUACCCC
rnacentral:rRNA from 1 species